UACGGAGGGUGCAAGCGUUAUCCGGAUUCACUGGGUUUAAAGGGUGCGUAGGCGGGCAGGUAAGUCAGUGGUGAAAUCUCUAGGCUUAACCUGGAAAUUGCCGUUGAUACUAUAUAUCUUGAAUGCUGUGGAGGUAAGCGGAAUAUGUCAUGUAGCGGUGAAAUGCUUAGAUAUGACAUAGAACACCUAUUGCGAAGGCAGCUUACUACGCAGAUAUUGACGCUCAUGCACGAAAGCGUGGGGAUCAAACAGG
rnacentral:rRNA from 1 species